AUGGAUCCAGCAAAGUACUGGAUGAUAACCAGGAGAAAGCAGGGUGAUCAGAAGGCGCCGGCCGUCUUCAGCACGCCGCACAUCACCGUCGGCAGCGGCGGCGGCGCCUCCUCGGCAUCCUACUACGAGUCGUGGGAGGAGCGCGCGUUCGCCCAGGACUCCGCGGGGAACCUCGGUGGCUGCAUCUGGCCACCAAGAUCCUACUCGUGCAGCUUCUGCGGCCGAGAGUUCCGGUCGGCUCAGGCGCUCGGCGGGCACAUGAACGUCCACCGGAGGGACCGGGCGAGGCUCAAGCUGUCCGGAAUGGUGGAGGAGGGGGGCGGCGUCGACGUUCAUGGCAUGCCUCUGCACCAAGGCUACAUGAUCCAGCCGCUGCCGUGUCCUCCUCCAAGACCUAGUGCUCCAAGCACAGAAGCUAACCCUAAUCCAGUACGCAGCUUUCUUUCGAAUCCAGGGAGAUCGUUGGUGGAUGCUGCAACUGCAAGAACCAUUUGGGGCAAACAGGUCUUGGCCGCCCCUCUCGCCUCCCCGUCGGACACCCAAGAACAUGGUGAGAAAGAGGUGUUUCUUCACGAUGUCGAGGUACGUUCAGAGCAAGAACUGCGUGCUGGGGGUGGCGAGCUGAAGCUGAGUCUUCUUGGACGCCGAACAAGGAGUGUCUAUGAGGAUGAUAAAGAAGACGAUGAAAAGAUUGUUCAUCUAUGUCGCAAAAGGAGGAGGAUUGAUCUGGAGGCUACCGAGUUCGCUCUGUCUUCUUCCUCUAGCGAGCAUCUGCAACGUGACGACCCUCGUGAUGAUGGCGACGAUAAUCGUCGUGUGAAGGUACUUAAGCUUUGUCCUAGCACCCCGGACGAGGAACUAGAUCUUGAGCUUAGGCUUUGA
rnacentral:rRNA from 1 species